rnacentral:rRNA from 1 species
CCUACGGGAGGCAGCAGUGGGGAAUAUUGCACAAUGGGGGAAACCCUGAUGCAGCGACGCCGCGUGAGUGAAGAAGUAUUUCGGUAUGUAAAGCUCUAUCAGCAGGGAAGAAAAUGACGGUACUAGUUCAAGAAGCCCCAGCUAACUAGGGCACAGCAGCCGCGGGAAAACGGAGGGGGCAAGCGUUAGCCGGAUUUACUGGGUGUAAAGGGAGCGUGAGCGGUAGCGCAAGUCUGGAGGGAAAGGCCGGGGCUUAACCCCGGAACUGCUUUGGAAACUGUGCAGCUAGAGUGAAGGAGGGGUAAGUGGAAUUCCUAGUGUAGCGGUGAAAUGCGUAGAUAUUAGGAGGAACACUAGUGGCGAAGGCGGGUUACUGGACUGUAACUGACGUUGAGGCUCGAAGGCGUGGGGAGCAAACAGGAUUAGAUACCCUUGUAGUC